GACGAACGCUGGCGGCGUGCCUAAUACAUGCAAGUCGAGCGGACUGAAUGGGAGCUUGCUCUUGUUCGGUCAGCGGCGGACGGGUGAGUAACACGUGGGCAACCUGCCCGCAAGACCGGGAUAACUCCGGGAAACCGGAGCUAAUACCGGAUAACACCGAAGACCGCAUGGUCUUUGGUUGAAAGGCGGCGCAAGCUGCCACUUGCGGAUGGGCCCGCGGCGCAUUAGCUAGUUGGUGAGGUAACGGCUCACCAAGGCGACGAUGCGUAGCCGGCCUGAGAGGGUGACCGGCCACACUGGGACUGAGACACGGCCCAGACUCCUACGGGAGGCAGCAGUAGGGAAUCUUCCGCAAUGGGCGAAAGCCUGACGGAGCGACGCCGCGUGAGCGAAGAAGGCCUUCGGGUCGUAAAGCUCUGUUGUGAGGGACGAAGGAGCGCCGUUUGAAGAAGGCGGCGCGGUGACGGUACCUCACGAGGAAGCCCCGGCGAACUACGU
rnacentral:rRNA from 1 species